UGUAAAUAAUGAUGAAAUCAAGGCUUGUUUCUCAAAACAUUGCAGUUGCCGCGUAAGAGCUUCUGCGCUGCCCAGCCUGAGAGCUAAGGAAACUAGAUCAUUCCUUGGAUGUCUGAUGCA